CUUCGCUCCAUACCACCUCUCCUUUUUCUACUCUCGGAUUACCACCUUCCACACCCUUACUCCUCUCAAUCUUUUGUCUCUCAUCACCACUCGGAUUGGAGUAGGUGAGCACUUCUCUUUGCGGCCCGGGCAGAAUGUACGUCACGAGGCGAUUUCCCCAUCGGUCUCUUACAACAUUAGGCCAAUUUUGCACAUUUGGGACUUUAUGUUGUGCAAACCAAUCGGCACCCAAGCUCACAUGACCGUAGGUUAUGGGAAAAAGAUCGCACCACACCUCCUCAUGGUAAUCAAAUUGGGAGAAAACAACUUUUAUCCUCUCGGUAACCUUAAACCCGUCCAAAAAGUAUGGAACAAGUAAAGGCUCUCGAAACAAUCCCAAGUAGUCAACCAUGGAUGGAAGGAUGUAGUUUCUAUAGUACCUAUCAUUUAAUACAACGAGGCAGCCCGGUAUCCCACAAAUGGUCACCUUUCCGGAGUGUACACUCCUCGAAUAAACAUUGUAAGGCAUAUGAUUACCCGUUGGUUUUGGAGAUGCAUAUCCUCUUCUUCUCGUGGGACAACCUCUACUAUAGCUACGAUAACCAUUCACACCAUGUCGAUCUUGAUAAGAAGUACUACAAGGUGAAGAAAAUGAAUUUUCACACUUCUCACAUGUACUCUCAUUAUAGCUCUCAUAAGCUUUGUGAAUGAAAGGUUUAUACCUAACACCAAAUCUAGGUUCGGAAUGGGAAGUGUAAGACUCCUCACAUGCCCCAACUUCAUCACAAAAACCAUCACAAGGUCCUACAUCAUCUCCAUAUCCCCCACAAGCGCUAGGCACUUCAUUCUCCUCAUUUUCUCCCCUAAAACCAUGACCCUCAAAUCUGCCCAAGCUUUGAUCAUGGCUAUUUUCAUAGCUCCCACAAUCUCCCUCAAAUUCAUAGCCAUAAAAUCCCUCACUACAAUCAUAGUCUCCCAUGUUGUAGUCACAAUAAUCCCCGGCUAUCGAAGACAUGUUCCCCUUAUAUCACCUUUUAAACCUACAAAAGAACAAACAAGAUUAGUAGUUAAAGCUCCUCUCCAACACUCAUAUACACUCACCUUUGUGAUUCUCACAAUCGGAGCGGCGAAUAUUGAAAGUUACUUAUACUCCGGUAGUCAAUAAGGUGUCAAUCACUACUUAGCGGCCGGAAUAGAUUCUUGUUUAAUCGACUCAAGACACAAAAUAGAAAAUUCUACUUACGAACUUAACACAAAGAAGUUCAACGAAUCCAAACAAGAAAAGCACAUAAAGAACGAAAACACGAAAAAAAAAAAAAGCAAACUCAAACAACUAAUUCACAAUCUAGUAGGUGAUUACUAGUUGCUAAUUAGCACUAGACUCAAGAAAUGAAAGUAAGGAAACAAAGAAAAGAAACUUAGAAAUCUGAAAUUUUAAGCUUAAGGUUGUUUUUGGAGGGUGAUGACAUGGCAGUUUGGUGGCAUGGCAAUUUGGUGACGUGGCAAUUUGCAAUUUGAAUUGGUCAAAUUUUAAUUUGGAAUGGUGAAAAUCAGCUUUGGGAGGGAAACAACAAGAUUCGGAGCCUUUUUUUUUAUUAUUUCAAAAAGGUUCGACUUCCUUGCACCCUUUUGGCAAGACACCUUUUUGAAAGGUUGUUGGCUCUUUCCUCUUUUGUUAGUCUUGGAAUAAGCUCUUACUCUCUUUUGGUAAACAAAACUUUUGAAAGCCGUUUUGGUAAACAAAACUUUUGAAAGCCCUUUUGUCCCCUUUCCUUUUUAGAUGUCUUGGGAUUGUGUCUUUCAAGACAAAUACAAAACCAUACUCCUUUCUUCACCCUUGUAGAUCAAACCACUCCCUUUUGAAUGUUCUUGCUCAACAAUACAUGAAGAACAACAAGAACAUUUAAGAAUGGAAACCAACCCAAAUGAGCUCCAAAUUGAAUGAUUUUUGUUUCUUUUAGCUCACAUUGAACUCCACAACAACAACACGUUUCAAACCCACAUCCUCAACAACAAACAUUAACAACACACUUUCAAGCCAUCAAUCCUCAAAAAACAACCAUCAAAGUUCAAGAACAACUCAGAAAUGGCUCAAAAUUCG
rnacentral:lncRNA from 1 species